GACGAACGCUGGCGGCGUGCUUAACACAUGCAAGUCGAACGGAAAGGCGCUGCUUUUGCGGCGUGCUCGAGUGGCGCACGGGGGAGUAACACGUGUGUAACCUCUCCUUGUCUUUGUGAUAUCAUCACGAGACUGGGGCUCAUACCGCGUAUGAUCUACUGCUGCGUGUUGGGGGUUGGAAAGAUUCGGCGGUUGGGGAUCGACUCGCGGCUUAUCAGCUUGAUUGUGGGGUAGUUGCUUACCAAGGCUUUGACGGGUAGCCGGCCUGAGAGCGUGACCAGGCACAAUACGACUGAGAGAGGGAGCAGUCGCCUACGUGCGGCAACAGGGGGGAGUAUUGCGCAAUGGGGGGACGCCUGAGGCAGAGGCCCCGCGUGCGGGAUGCUGGGCUUCGGGUGAUGAACCGCUUUGGCCUGUGACGAAGCGUGAGUGACGGUAAUGGGUAAAGAAGCACCGGCUAACUACGUG
rnacentral:rRNA from 1 species